CGGCGUUAAUGUAUAUCGGAAAUAUAUCGUAUUUUGCAGAGAAGACCUUACGUAUUACAUUAACGGCACUUUUACGGCUGAGAUCGAUGGUAUGGCUGAAAGAGCCGGAGUUUGCACAAAGGAUAAAUUGGCUAUUGGAGAAGACAAACCGCCUACAUAUAGCGGACUUCAAACGAUGGCACAUGAAAUUGGACAUUUGCUGGGAUCUGACCACGACAGCUGUCCGGAUGCGGAGGAUUGCCCUGCUAGUUACGGAAAUCUAAUGACAAAUAUCAAUAUAGAUAGGCAAAACAAAUCGAAGCUGUCACUCUGCAGUCAAAGACAAAUAAGUUCCUUAGUCAG
rnacentral:lncRNA from 1 species